UUGGAGUUAGCCCGGUAUCUAUCCCUGGCAUAUCCAGUUUGCCUCAGAGUGACGGGCUUGCAGGACCAGCCGCUAGGACUGAUUCUCAUAUGACUCCUGACAUCCCUCAAAUGCCCGCGGAUAAUGGAUCUACAGGACCAGCAGCUUGGGCCGAUACUCUUAUGACUCUUGG